rnacentral:sRNA from 1 species
GCUGGGUAUGGUGGCACAUGCCUGUAAUCCCAGUGAUUCAGGAGGCUGAAACGGGAGGAUUGCAAGUUCAAGGCCAGCCUCAGCACUUUAGUGAGAUCCUGUCUCAA